GCAGAUGUACCCAAGUGGCUGAAGGGUCCGCACUCGAAAUGCGGUAGGGCAGGUAACUGUCGCAAGAGUUCAAAUCUCUUCAUCUGCGCCA
rnacentral:tRNA from 1 species